GUCCCGCCCCAGAACUGAUUGCCUUAACUGAUGCCUGUCACCACUCAGCAGUCCAUCUUGGCUCUCCUCUUGCUGCUGAGUUGAUUUGCCCCAUUGCUACAAUGAGCCUUCUGCUAACUUCAGAACCAGUGUGUCUAGAUUUACGAUCAGUAGCUCUCCAGGGACCUUCCAGGUUUUCCGUGCCAGACUUCAAGUGCUGGUGCACCCAGUCUUGUGGACUGAGAAAUUGCCAGUGACAAACAGACAGCUUCUGGACCAAACUUCAAGGACCAAACCGCUGCUGGGUUAUUGGUCUCCCAGAAAGGGAAAUAACCUGAAGAUUAAACUGUGAAAUCGCUUGACAGAAGACACCAUCAGAUUGACUUCAUCAUUAGUGAUGCAUGUUCUCAAAUUUACACAGCCUCUGUACCUUACAGAACUCAAGCUAAUUUACCUGCUUUUCUCAGCACUUCCUUCCCAGUCAUCCUUCUAUCUCGCCCAUCACUGAUGCCAGUCAGUGCCACCAACAGCAUCCAUGGCCACCGACAGCAUCCGUGGCCACCAACAGCAUCCGUGGCCACCGACAGCAUCCGUGGCCACCAACAGCAUCCGUGGCCACCGACAGCAUCCGUGGCCACUGACAGCAUCCGUGGCCACCGACAGCAUCCGUGGCCUCUAGUAGCCAGGGCCAUGAGAGGCUUAGAGCAUGAAGAUACAGCUUACUUAUCAAGAAGUCUCAUGGUCCCUUGGCAUCUCCAUGCUCCAUCUUCCUUACAGAGUUGUUCUGUCAUUUUGGUUGUCAUGACAGGUUCACAAAACAGCAGAUCCCAGCACUCCGUCCUUGUAUGACUUCAAGUGCCAGCAGGAAUACAAGGGCUGGUGCUGGGGUGGGAGGAAGUAACUGUGCAUACUAAUGGAGAGACUAGUCCAGUUCUUCAGAAGCGUGCAAGUUAGGAAAUGAAAGCGAAGAAUGGCAAUACCACUGAGUACUUCUUUGUGACAGCACUAUUGUUUCCCAUUGUCUCCUUUAACCCUCACAACAGUGCUGUGAGAUUAGAAACUUCAUUUUACAGAAACAAAGAGAUGCAGCAAAAUUAGAAGUAUUCUAAAACAGGUUUUGGAUGACAUUUUACCUUGUCAUUCUUUACAUACCAUUUGCAUAUUUAUCCCAGAUAUGGACACACAGGACUUAGAUCUAUUUUCAAGAAGUACCCAUUGCCUCAGCUACAGGAGUCUUGUCAGGUUUCCUGUUAGAGGGUUAGCCGCUGCAGAAGGAAGGGCAGCUCCCCCAGGAGGAUAGCUGCCUCUUCUCCCUGUGUGGCUGUACCCUGAGGCUGACUAGCUUAGGGUUACUAGAGAGUGUUCCAUGCCAUAAGGAGUAACUCUGUGUAGUCCUGAUUUCUGUCCUCCCAUCAAGGAUGCUCCAUGGUAGUCUCAACCCACUCUCUUGGAGUCUGCUUCCCAGUUGAAUUAGACUGUAGUCAUUUUGCCUCACUAUGUAGCCCUCCCUGACUGACCUAAAACCCACCAUAAGGACCAGGCUGGCCCAGAACUCACAGAGAUACUCUUGCCUCUGCCUCUAUGGUACAUGCGUCAUUGUACCUGGACAUAUUUCUAUUUUACAUUUCUGCAGACACAUUAAAGUGCUACUUUUAUUCUAGUUUUUGAGUGUUACAUUCCCUCAUUAAUAGUUCUUCUCAUUGACAAAUAUCUUUUAAAACUUACCUUUUAAAAAAAAUUAACUAGGCUGGUAAUAUAUAGCUUUGCAUGUGCAAUGUCCCAAGUUCAAAUCACAAUAUUGUAAACAAAUAAAUUUGAAAGUAAACUAAUAUAACUGCCUUAUACAAUGUCUCCAAAAAAAUAAAAUAGGAAGUUACCCA